rnacentral:rRNA from 1 species
UACGUAGGGUGCAAGCGUUAAUCGGAAUUACUGGGCGUAAAGCGUGCGCAGGCGGUUGUGCAAGACAGAUGUGAAAUCCCCGGGCUUAACCUGGGAACUGCAUUUGUGACUGCACGGCUAGAGUGCGGCAGAGGGGGAUGGAAUUCCGCGUGUAGCAGUGAAAUGCGUAGAUAUGCGGAGGAACACCGAUGGCGAAGGCAGCCUCCUGGGAUAACACUGACGCUCAUGCACGAAAGCGUGGGGAGCAAACAGG